rnacentral:rRNA from 1 species
GACGAACGCUGGCGGCGUGCCUAAUACAUGCAAGUAGAACGCUGAAGGAGGAGCUUGCUUCUCUGGAUGAGUUGCGAACGGGUGAGUAACGCGUAGGUAACCUGCCUGGUAGCGGGGGAUAACUAUUGGAAACGAUAGCUAAUACCGCAUAAGAGUAGAUGUUGCAUGACAUUUGCUUAAAAGGUGCAAUUGCAUCACUACCAGAUGGACCUGCGUUGUAUUAGCUAGUUGGUGGGGUAACGGCUCACCAAGGCGACGAUACAUAGCCGACCUGAGAGGGUGAUCGGCCACACUGGGACUGAGACACGGCCCAGACUCCUACGGGAGGCAGCAGUAGGGAAUCUUCGGCAAUGGACGGAAGUCUGACCGAGCAACGCCGCGUGAGUGAAGAAGGUUUUCGGAUCGUAAAGCUCUGUUGUAAGAGAAGAACGAGUGUGAGAGUGGAAAGUUCACACUGUGACAGUAUCUUACCAGAAAGGGACGGCUAACUACGUGCCAGCAGCCGCGGUAAUACGUAGGUGGCAAGCGUUAUCCGGAUUUAUUGGGCGUAAAGAGAGUGCAGGCGGUUUUCUAAGUCUGAUGUGAAAGCCUUCGGCUUAACCGGAGAAGUGCAUCGGAAACUGGAUAACUUGAGUGCAGAAGAGGGUAGUGGAACUCCAUGUGUAGCGGUGGAAUGCGUAGAUAUAUGGAAGAACACCAGUGGCGAAGGCGGCUACCUGGUCUGCAACUGACGCUGAGACUCGAAAGCAUGGGUAGCGAACAGG